rnacentral:rRNA from 1 species
UACGUAGGUGGCAAGCGUUGUCCGGAUUUAUUGGGUUUAAAGGGUGCGUAGGCGGUCAAAUAAGUCAGUUGUGAAAUACGGCAGCUCAACUGUCGAGGUGCAAUUGAUACUGUUUGACUUGAGUACUGUUGAGGUAGGCGGAAUGGACGGUGUAGCGGUGAAAUGCUUAGAGAUCGUCCAGAACACCGAUAGCGAAGGCAGCUUACUAAAGAGUAACUGACGCUGAGGCACGAAAGCGUGGGGAUCAAACAGG